CAGCCGCCACGGUAAUACGUAGGUCCCGAGCGUUGUCCGGAUUUAUUGGGCGUAAAGCGAGCGCAGGCGGUUUGAUAAGUCUGAAGUUAAAGGCUGUGGCUCAACCGUAGUUCGCUUUGGAAACUGUCAAACUUGAGUGCAGAAGGGGAGAGUGGAAUUCCAUGUGUAGCGGUGAAAUGCGUAGAUAUAUGGAGGAACACCGGUGGCGAAAGCGGCUCUCUGGUCUGUAACUGACGCUGAGGCUCGAAAGCGUGGGGAGCGAACAGGAUUAGAUACCCCCCGUAGUCCCUGUCUCUUAUAC
rnacentral:rRNA from 1 species